AACAGGAUUAGAUACCCUGGUAGUCACGCCGUAAACGAUGUCGACUUGGAGGUUGUUCCCUUGAGGAGUGGCUUCCGGAGCUAACGCGUUAAGUCGACCGCCUGGGGAGUACGGCCGCAAGGUUAAAACUCAAAUGAAUUGACGGGGGCCCGCACAAGCGGUGGAGCAUGUGGUUUAAUUCGAUGCAACGCGAAGAACCUUACCUACUCUUGACAUCCACGGAAUUUGGCAGAGAUGCCUUAGUGCCUUCGGGAACCGUGAGACAGGUGCUGCAUGGCUGUCGUCAGCUCGUGUUGUGAAAUGUUGGGUUAAGUCCCGCAACGAGCGCAACCCUUAUCCUUUGUUGCCAGCGAUUCGGUCGGGAACUCAAAGGAGACUGCCGGUGAUAAACCGGAGGAAGGUGGGGAUGACGUCAAGUCAUCAUGGCCCUUACGAGUAGGGCUACACACGUGCUACAAUGGCGCAUACAAAGAGAAGCGACCUCGCGAGAGCAAGCGGACCUCACAAAGUGCGUCGUAGUCCGGAUCGGAGUCUGCAACUCGACUCCGUGAAGUCGGAAUCGCUAGUAAUCGUGGAUCAGAAUGCCACGGUGAAUACGUUCCCGGGCCUUGUACACACCGCCCGUCACACCAUGGGAGUGGGUUGCUCCAGAAGUAGCUAGUCUAACCUUCGGGAGGACGGUUACCACGGAGUGAUUCAUGACUGGGGUGAAGUCGUAACAAGGUAACC
rnacentral:rRNA from 1 species